rnacentral:rRNA from 1 species
CCUACGGGAGGCAGCAGUGGGGGAUAUUGCACAAUGGGGGAAACCCUGAUGCAGCGACGCCGCGUGGGCGAAGAAGUAUUUCGGUAUGUAAAGCCCUAUCAGCAGGGAAGAAGAAAUGACGGUACCUGAGUAAGAAGCACCGGCUAAAUACGUGCCAGCAGCCGCGGUAAUACGUAGGGUGCAAGCGUUAUCCGGAUUUACUGGGUGGAAAGGGAGCGCAGGCGGCACGGCAAGCCUGAUGUGAAAGCCCGCGGCACAACGGCGGGACUGCAUUGGGAACUACCGGGCUGGAGUGCCGGAGAGGUAGGCGGAAUUCCUAGUGUAGCGGUGAAAUGCGUAGAUAUUAGGAGGAACACCAGUGGCGAAGGCGGCCUACUGGACGGUGACUGACGCUGAGGCUCGAAAGCGUGGGGAGCAAACAGGAUUAGAUACCCCAGUAGUC